rnacentral:lncRNA from 1 species
UAGGAUACAAUUUUAUACUUAAUAUAUUGAUUUGAUCAAUAAAAGGACAAGUUUAUUUUUUAUUCAAGUAUGAUGUAUCCUUGAAUCAUCCAUGGAAUUAACUUUCGAUACAUAUUCUCAAAGUGUUGAGAAUUAGAGAUAUGUAUUUCAUUCCUAAAUGCUCCUGAUCAUAAAAUCAUCAUGAGGAUGGUGAUCAAUCUGAAUAGACCGACACAC